rnacentral:tRNA from 1 species
GCGGGUAUGGCGAAAUAGGCAAACGCAAUGGACUUAAAAUCCAUCGGGUUUUAUCCCUUGCAGGUUCAACCCCUGUUACCCGCACCA